GUUAAAGCGCAAGCGCAGAAAAGGCCGCUCCCGGUCGUCGGGACUAGAGCUGUGGGUGCCUUGGUGUCCUUGCACGCCCGUGGGUUUUGACACCGUCUGUGCGUGUUUAUGUAUACGUACACGUGCGGAUUUACAUUAAUAUGCGGCAUAAGUACUGCCCAAUUUGUCCUUUCUCUAGCCGUCCCCACUUAACGCUGAGAGAAGCAUUUCUAGGCAUGGUUCACGCUUCUUGCAUUUUUUUUUUCUUUGAACUGAAAACGAAAGAAACUCCUCGUUUCUUGAGUGGUUUCUGUAGCGGGGCUGAAACCGGAACGCCCAGCCUCUUUCUCUCGGUGAGGUGGGUGAGUCAGUAGUCCGCCCAUUUUUCACCCUGGGAACGAAGGCCAGCGAAGAGGUAAGACCAAACAGGUGAGGGACGCGGUCCCUUACUUUGUAACAAGACAACAAGCCCGCGGCCGGUCUGCCGGAUCCCGAACCGCCUUUGCACCCACUGGCAUUCUCUCAAGGUGCUCUAAGAUUGUUCUAGCAUUUCUCUGGGCGAUCUGGCAGGAAGUGCGGUUCUGAAAUGACUGGAGAAAUCAACACUCAAAUCUGUCUCAUUCCCCCAAACACGGGGGCACCUAGAGCUGUUCAAAAAAUGUGCCAAUUCCUUACACAACCUCGAGUCUCAUUUUAUUACACCAUCACUUCCUCGGGGCCUUCUCGCGGGGGGAGUGUGCGCUGCACCCCAAAGUGACCGAUACUGCCUGAGGGAUUUUAAAGUUCUUGGUCUACUGCAGAGUCCUGUAAAGUGUUAAAAUACCCAAGACCCUAAGUGCUCGCUUCCGCAGGCCGGGCGGGACUUGAGACCCGGCGGUAGGAGGGGCGCUCACUGCAGGCGGAAGCGCGCCCCAGGUGCGUGGAGGCUGACUGGGUUGCCGGCCUAGAGGCCCAGAGCGCCUCGGGCUUUUUGCUCUGAGUACUGUUUUCCCACGCCUCCAGCUUAGGAGCCGAAAGACUUCUCUCCAAAGGGCUUUUUGUGCAAGGACUCAGACCCCUGGAGAGUGAUCUCCUCUGAGCCCCUGGUGUGAAAUAAGCCUCCUGCCUUCCAA